GAAAGCCUUCCGAUGGACGAGGUACAUGUACCUCUUCCAUCGGAAGGAAACCCUUCCGCGCUGGAUGAGGUACAUGCCUUCCGCUGGACAAGGUACAUGUACCUCGUCCAGCGGAAGGCUUUC
rnacentral:miRNA from 1 species